UAUUUAGCUUAUCGAUACUAAUAGGUCGAGGACUUGACCAAUAUUAUUUGAUGUUAUUCAUUAAGAUAUAUGUGCAGUUUUUAGAGUGUUAACUCUAUGUAAAGUACUAACUUCAAUUGAUGAAGUAUAUAUCGUAAAAACAAUUACUAUUUAGUACUUCAAAACUAUUGACAUUUAAAAAUAAAGAUGUUAAUAUAAUACUUGUCUUAUAAAUAGGCAAUAUGUGGUUAUAAUAGCAGAGAGGAUACACCUGUUCCCAUUCCGAACACAGAAGUUAAGCUCUCUAGCGCUGAUGGUACUUGGUGGGAAACUGCCUGGGAGAGUAGGACGUAGCCACGUAAUUUUUUUUGGGUAAAUUUAUAAAAAUUAAAAAAGUUUUAUUUUUUAUGUUUAAACCUUGUAAAUUUGGGACAUAAUAUAAUUGUAAAACUUAAUAUAGCAAAAAUAAAUUACUCAAUCUCCCCCACUUAAAGACCUCUAUCCCCCAUAGAGGUCUUUUUUAUUUUCAAACCAAAUUAUAUAAAAAAUAAAUAGUUUUAUAUGACUCUUCAUAAAUUAAAAUCACAUUGUGAUAGCAAACCAUGAAUAUGAAAAAUAUAGAAAAUUAUAGCUAACAUAAGCUGUAUAUCAUCUUAACUUCAGUAUAUUUAACAAAAAAUGUUUAUAAUUUAACCUUUAUUUUAAUAAGUUUACUAUAUAUUCACUUUGUCUUAAUAUAUCCUUUACAAAUUAAGAGUAUUAUUAAUCUAUAAGUAAAUCGUAGAAUUAAAUUAAAUAUUUUGGGAGGAUAAAAAUGGCAGAUAUAAGACUAGAAAAUGUAACAAAAUCUUAUAAUAAAAAAAAUACAGUUAUAGAAAAUUUAAAUCUUACUAUAGAAGAUGGUUCUUUUACAGUAUUGGUAGGCCCAAGUGGAUGUGGUAAAUCUACUACGUUAAGAAUGAUUGCAGGUCUUGAAGAUAUAACUUCAGGUAGGUUGAAGAUUGAAGAAAAUGAUGUUACAAAAACGGAUGCUAGUAAAAGGGAUAUAGCUAUGGUAUUUCAAAAUUAUGCAUUAUAUCCACAUAUGACUGUUAGAGAAAACAUAGAAUUUGGUCUUAAAAACAAAAAAGUAGAAAAAGAAAAAAGAGAAAAACUUAUAACAGAAGUUAUUGAUGUAGUAGGAUUGAGAGAAUAUUUAAAUGUGAAACCAGGCAACUUAUCUGGAGGUCAAAGACAAAGAGUGGCACUUGCUAGAGCUAUGGUUAAAAAUCCAAAGGUAUUUUUAAUGGAUGAACCAUUGUCAAAUUUAGAUGCUAAAUUAAGAAAUCAAAUGAGAACAGAAUUAAUACAAUUACAUCAAAAACUAAAGUCUACAUUUGUUUAUGUAACUCAUGACCAGGUUGAGGCAAUGUCAAUGGCAGAUAAGAUAGUUAUAAUGAACAAAGGAAAGAUAAUGCAAAUAGGUUCUCCAAAGAAGAUAUAUCAAAAUCCUAAAAAUUUAUUUGUAGCUCAAUUUAUAGGGAGUCCUUGUAUGAACAUACUAGAUAUAAAAAAUGAUAUUAAAUUUGGAUUCAGACCAGAAAAAGCAACACUAGAGAGUAUAAACAUAGAUGGAAAAAAUGAUGAUGUAUUUAGUCUAUUUGGAAAAGUUGUAACUAAAGAAGUGUUGGGAAAUGAAACUAUAUAUUGUUUAUCUGUUCUUAAUAGAGAGAUAAGAGUCAAAACGGAAAAUGAUAUAUUUGAUAUUGGAAGAACUUUAAGAAUAAGUGUAUUAGAAAAAGAUUUAUAUUAUUUUGAUAAAAAUGGAGAAAGAAUAGAAGAUGUAAAAGUAUGUAAAAGUAUGUAUUCUAAAAUUAAAGGAGAUAUUUAUGAAAAAGCAAUUUAAUAAAGCAUAUUUAUAUAUAACACCUGCUAUUAUAGGAACUUUAUUGUUUAUAGUCUAUCCAAUAAUUAAGACAAUAUCUCUAAGCUUCAAAUCUGGUAGUCUUCUUAGUUCAACCUUUGAAAAUGUAGGCUUAAACAAUUAUACAGAACUUUUAAAGAAUCCAGAGUUUAUACAAACUAUAACGAACACUGCAAUUUAUACUUUUUUUAUGGUGACUAUAUCUAUAUCACUAGCCAUAGUACUUGCUGUUUGGCUAAAUAAAAAUUCUAUAAUACACAAUUUAACGCAAAGUAUAAUCUUUACACCACAUGUAAUUUCACUAGUAUCUGUAGCUGUAUUGUGGCUUUGGAUUAUGGAGCCACAAUAUGGCUUUUUAAACUGGAUACUAUCGACAUUACAUUUACCAACAUCAAAGUGGCUUUCAAGUGAAAGUUCAGCUUUAAUGUCACUAAUUCUAAUAGGAAUAUGGAAGACUCUUGGAUACAAUAUCU
rnacentral:rRNA from 1 species